GAUGAACGCUGGCGGCGUGCCUAAUACAUGCAAGUCGAGCGAACAGACGAGGAGCUUGCUCCUCUGACGUUAGCGGCGGUCGGGUGAGUAACACGUGGAUAACCUACCUAUAAGACUGGGAUAACUUCGGGAAACCGGAGCUAAUACCGGAUAAUAUAUUGAACCGCAUGGUUCAAUAGUGAAAGACGGUUUUGCUGUCACUUAUCGAUGGAUCCGCGCCGCAUUAACUAGUUGGUAAGGUAACGGCUUACCAAGGCGACGAUGCGUAGCCGACCUGAGAGGGUGAUCGGCCACACUGGAACUGAGACACGGUCCAGACUCCUACGGGAGGCAGCAGUAGGGAAUCUUCCGCAAUGGGCGAAAGCCUGACGGAGCAACGCCGCGUGAGUGAUGAAGGUCUUCGGAUCGUAAAACUCUGUUAUUAGGGAAGAACAAAUGUGUAAGUAACUAUGCACGUCUUGACGGUACCUAAUCAGAAAGCCACGGCUAACUACGUG
rnacentral:rRNA from 1 species